UGAAAAAACACUGGACUUUGGAGCUAACAAAACUAUCCAAACUGAAGGGCCAGAGUCAGAAAACAAGGGCAAAAGUCCUCAGACAGUAGCAGAGAUGAAAAUGAGCUGUUGACAGGUGGGCUGCUCUCCUACACAUCUCCCCACAGUGGUAGAUUCCAUCCUCAAAGCCGCCUCAUGAUUAUCAGAGAGCUGCUGUACAUGAGCUUGGGCAUUCCAGGCAGAAAGAAGGAAGGGAAGAGGAGAAGUGGGUGCCUGCCAGAAUGCUUCCAUGUCCCACCAAGCAGGGCCCCAAACUCCCCAAGGACAGAAGCUCCUUUGUCCAGGACCUUCCCCCGUGUACCUCUUCAUCUGGCUGUUGAUUUGUAUCCUUCUUAUAUCCUUUAAUAACCUGGUAAACAUAAGUUUGCAAAUUUGCCAGAAGGGCUAAGAAGGCUGCGGCAGGCAUCCCACUAGCAGCAGCAGAGAAGCCUCGGGGCAGCCAGAGCUUUACAGACCAGCUGAAGCAGGUGCUGGAAUGCAACUGGAGUGAAAACAGUGAAUUGCGAGGAUGUGGACUCGGUGAACAGGUGUCCCUUACACAGCUUUGUAUAAAGCUUAGAGACUGAAAUACCUGGUUCUUCAAGUCAUGACUCUUCUUAAUUAGAACGUGGUGAGACCUAAGUUUUAUUUUAUUUUUAUUUUAGGAUAAGAACUACUAUAGAAGAAAAGGCUGAGUGGAAGCCCCU